AGGAUACGUUCGUUGGGUAGGGGAGCGUUCUGUAAGCCUGUGAAGGUGGCCUGUGAGGGUUGCUGGAGGUAUCAGAAGUGCGAAUGCUGACAUAAGUAACGAUAAAGCGGGUGAAAAGCCCGCUCGCCGGAAGACCAAGGGUUCCUGUCCAACGUUAAUCGGGGCAGGGUGAGUCGACCCCUAAGGCGAGGCCGAAAGGCGUAGUCGAUGGGAAACGGGUUAAUAUUCCCGUACUUGGUGUUACUGCGAAGGGGGGACGGAGAAGGCUAUGUUGGCCGGGCGACGGUUGUCCCGGUUUAAGCGUGUAGGUGUGUGUUCCAGGUAAAUCCGGUUCACUUUAACACUGAGGCGUGACGACGAGGCACUACGGUGCUGAAGCAACAAAUGCCCUGCUUCCAGGAAAAGCCUCUAAGCAUCAGGUAACAUCAAAUCGUACCCCAAACCGACACAGGUGGUCAGGUAGAGAAUACCAAGGCGCUUGAGAGAACUCGGGUGAAGGAACUAGGCAAAAUGGUGCCGUAACUUCGGGAGAAGGCACGCUGACACGUAGGUGAAGUGAUUUACUCAUGGAGCUGAAGUCAGUCGAAGAUACCAGCUGGCUGCAACUGUUUAUUAAAAACACAGCACUGUGCAAACACGAAAGUGGACGUAUACGGUGUGACGCCUGCCCGGUGCCGGAAGGUUAAUUGAUGGGGUCAGCGCAAGCGAAGCUCCUGAUCGAAGCCCCGGUAAACGGCGGCCGUAACUAUAACGGUCCUAAGGUAGCGAAAUUCCUUGUCGGGUAAGUUCCGACCUGCACGAAUGGCGUAAUGAUGGCCAGGCUGUCUCCACCCGAGACUCAGUGAAAUUGAACUCGCUGUGAAGAUGCAGUGUACCCGCGGCAAGACGGAAAGACCCCGUGAACCUUUACUAUAGCUUGACACUGAACAUUGAGCCUUGAUGUGUAGGAUAGGUGGGAGGCUUUGAAGUGUGGACGCCAGUCUGCAUGGAGCCGACCUUGAAAUACCACCCUUUAAUGUUUGAUGUUCUAACGUGGACCCGUAAUCCGGGUUGCGGACAGUGUCUGGUGGGUAGUUUGACUGGGGCGGUCUCCUCCUAAAGAGUAACGGAGGAGCACGAAGGUUGGCUAAUCCUGGUCGGACAUCAGGAGGUUAGUGCAAUGGCAUAAGCCAGCUUGACUGCGAGCGUGACGGCGCGAGCAGGUGCGAAAGCAGGUCAUAGUGAUCCGGUGGUUCUGAAUGGAAGGGCCAUCGCUCAACGGAUAAAAGGUACUCCGGGGAUAACAGGCUGAUACCGCCCAAGAGUUCAUAUCGACGGCGGUGUUUGGCACCUCGAUGUCGGCUCAUCACAUCCUGGGGCUGAAGUAGGUCCCAAGGGUAUGGCUGUUCGCCAUUUAAAGUGGUACGCGAGCUGGGUUUAGAACGUCGUGAGACAGUUCGGUCCCUAUCUGCCGUGGGCGCUGGAGAACUGAGGGGGGCUGCUCCUAGUACGAGAGGACCGGAGUGGACGCAUCACUGGUGUUCGGGUUGUCAUGCCAAUGGCACUGCCCGGUAGCUAAAUGCGGAAGAGAUAAGUGCUGAAAGCAUCUAAGCACGAAACUUGCCCCGA
rnacentral:rRNA from 1 species